rnacentral:rRNA from 1 species
GACGAACGCUGGCGGCGUGCUUAACACAUGCAAGUCGAACGGAAAGGCCCUGCUUUUGUGGGGUUCUCGAGUGGCGAACGGGUGAGUAACACGUGAGUAACCUGCCCUUGACUUUGGGAUAACUUCAGGAAACUGGGGCUAAUACCGGAUAGGAGCUCCUGCUGCAUGGUGGGGGUUGGAAAGUUUCGGCGGUUGGGGCUGGACUCGCGGCUUAUCAGCUUGUUAGUGAGGUAGUGGCUUACCAAGGCUUUGACGGGUAGCCGGCCUGAGAGGGUGACCGGCCACAAUGCGACUGAGAUACGGCCCAGACUCCUACGGGAGGCAGAAGUGGGGAAUAUUGCGCAAUGGGCGGAAGCCUGAUGCAGCAACGCCGCGUGCGGGAUGACGGCCUUCGGGUUGUAAACCGCUUUCGCCUGUGACGAAGCGUGAGUGACGGUAAUGGGUAAAGAAGCACCGGCUAACUACGUG